rnacentral:piRNA from 1 species
GAAGGAAGCUAAAGUAGAAUUGG